rnacentral:rRNA from 1 species
CGCGUAGGCGGUCAGUGCAAGUCAGUUGUGAAAUCUCCGGGCUUAACUCGGAAAGGUCAACUGAUACUGCUCGACUAGAGUGCGGAAGGGGCAACUGGAAUUCUUGGUGUAGCGGUGAAAUGCGUAGAUAUCAAGAGGAACACCUGCGGCGAAGGCGGGUUGCUGGGCCGACACUGACGCUGGGGCGCGAAAGCUAGGGAGCAACG